rnacentral:rRNA from 1 species
ACAUGCAAGUCGAGGGGAAACGAUAUUGGAAGCUUGCUUCCGAUAGGCGUCGACCGGCGCACGGGUGAGUAACGCGUAUCCAACCUGCCCACCACUUGGGGAUAACCUUGCGAAAGUAAGACUAAUACCCAAUGACGUCUCUAGAAGACAUCUGAAAGAGAUUAAAGAUUUAUCGGUGAUGGAUGGGGAUGCGUCUGAUUAGCUUGUUGGCGGGGUAACGGCCCACCAAGGCUACGAUCAGUAGGGGUUCUGAGAGGAAGGUCCCCCACAUUGGAACUGAGACACGGUCCAAACUCCUACGGGAGGCAGCAGUGAGGAAUAUUGGUCAAUGGACGAGAGUCUGAACCAGCCAAGUAGCGUGCAGGAUGACGGCCCUAUGGGUUGUAAACUGCUUUUAUAAGGGAAUAAAGUGAGUCUCGUGAGACUUUUUGCAUGUACCUUAUGAAUAAGGACCGGCUAAUUCCGUGCCAGCAGCCGCGGUAAUACGGAAGGUCCGGGCGUUAUCCGGAUUUAUUGGGUUUAAAGGGAGCGUAGGCCGGAGAUUAAGCGUGUUGUGAAAUGUAGACGCUCAACGUCUGCACUGCAGCGCGAACUGGUUUCCUUGAGUAC